UUUCGUCUUCCUGUCUGUCAUGUCCAGCCUGUGCAGAGCUGGCUGAGCUGGUGAGAGGGGUGGGGGCGUCGCGGUGCUGCUUCUGCUCUGAUGAAGGCACCCACUGUCACUGUCCCGGCCCUCGCUGAGGGUCCCCAGACCCGUGGGACCGCGUCUAUGCCAGGCCUCAGGGAGUUCUUCAGCCUCGGAGCCUCUUCCUGUUCUCAGACCUCAGUGCGGGGAGGAAAUCAGGAUUCACGUCUGCAAUACGGAAGGGAGACCCUUGGGAGCUCAGAGACUGCUGAGGCCCCUAGGCUCAGCAUGGGGUGUCCAGAGUUGUUGCCUUGUGGACCAAGACAGCCCACAGCCCAUGGCAGCUUCCAGAGCCAGAAGAACAGGAGUCAUCUCUGAAGAGCCCGGGGCUACCUCUUUGCUGAUCUCAUUGGCCAGAACUUUCUGGCUCUCACGCUCACCCCAAGGCCAAUCACUAGCAAGAUAAAAAAGCAGCACCCCUGCAGGGCCGAGACCAGCUAUACCCUGGGCAGGGGAGGGGCUGCCCCUUCCUUACCUGAACUCAGUUAAAUUUAUUUUUAUUUUUUAACAUAAAGAAAAGGCAAUGGGAAUUCAGUGAGUGGACGACUAGCCACCUCUGUGGCUGCCUGCCGUGUGAGCGUGGGCCGUGUUCCGUCCUUGGUCUCCUCGUGGCUGCCUGCCGUGUGAGCGUGGGCCGUGUUCUGUCUUUGGUCUCCUCUGUGAAGCGGGAAUAAAAGCAGGGACUAGGUUCUGACCCCUCAGACCUCGCUCCUGAGCUUUCCACGUCUGUAUCCAUUUGCUCUUCAUCCCUACCCUCAAGACUUUCAGGAUUCCGUCUGCAGAUGAGGACUCAGUGAGGCCCCGCUUACGGGGCUGAGCUGAGGGGCCAGAGGUCCAGCCCAGAGGUCAUUGGCUCCCUGGAGCUCUGGGAGCUCCCGGCUCCCAGCAGUGCGUGAAUGUGCA